GAUGAACGCUAGCGGCAGGCCUAACACAUGCAAGUCGAGGGGUAGCAGGAUUAAGCUUGCUUAAUUGCUGACGACCGGCGCACGGGUGCGUAACGCGUAUGCAACCUACCUUAUACUGGGGUAUAGCCCGGAGAAAUUCGGAUUAAUCCCCCAUAGUACUAAUGAAUCGCAUGGUUUAUUAGUUAAAGCAUUGCGGUAUAAGAUGGGCAUGCGUCCUAUUAGCUAGAUGGUGAGGUAACGGCUCACCAUGGCUACGAUAGGUAGGGGGGCUGAGAGGGCGGUACCCCACACUGGAACUGAGACACGGACCAGACUCGUACGGGAGGCAGCAGUGAGGAAGAUUGGGCAAUGGGCGCAAGCCUGAACCAGCCAUGCCGCGUGCAGGAAGAAUGCCCUAUGGGUUGAAAACUGCUUUUAUUUGGGAAUAAACCUCUUUACGUGUAGAGAGCUGAAGGUACCAAAUGAAUAAGCACCGGCUAACUCCGUGCCAGCCGCCGCGGUAA
rnacentral:rRNA from 1 species